ensembl:lncRNA
GAUAUGUUCAUGUGUGGAUGCGAUGGAACUGAGGUCACCAGGUUCAGGCCACCUGGAGCAUGAGGCUGACAAAUGGAGAAGCACUGAGUCAAAUGAAUCUUGGAGAAAUGGAACUGGAAGAAAAUUGGGGAUGACUGAUUCCCUGUGAAGACUGGAGAGCCAGGAAAAACUGGAGAUAAUGGAAUUACACAGAAUUUAGAAAUGAAAGCCUCCUGAAAAUUAAUAUUUUAAAAAUAACAAAUAAGGGAUGGUUGUUUUUUCCUUAACAUAAUAAAUGAUGAGGAACUGACAAAAGAAUUAGACGAUUCUGUCCGGGCAUGGUGGCUCACGCCUGUAAUCCCAACACUUUGGGAGGCUGAGGCAGUCAGAUGACAAGGUCAAGAGAUCAAGACCAUCCUGGCCAACAUGGUGAAACCCUGUCUCUACUAAAAAUACAAAAAGUAGCUGGUCAUGGUGGUGCUUGCCUGUAGUCCGAGCUACUUGGGAGGCUGAGGCAGGAGAAUUGCUUGAACCUGGGAGGCAGAGGUUGCAGUGAGCCGAGAUUGCACCAUUGCACUCCAGCCUGGCACCUGACGAUGGGGCGAGACUCUGUCUCAAAAAAAAAAAAAAGAGGGAAUUAGAAAAUUCUAUUUCAAAGAUUCUUGUGAAUGCCUCAAGAUAGUUUUCUGUUUCUAUUUAUUUUCUUUGGCUGGGUGAUGUUUUCCUAUAAACAUUAAAACAAAGGCAACAGUAAUAUGUAAAAUCUUGGCAAGUCCACAAAGAUUCUGCCAGCAACAGAUUUACAUGUUUUCUGAUUUUUUAUUUUGAGACAGGGUCUCACUCUGUCACUCUGGCUAGAGUGCAGUGGCAUAAUCAUGGUGCACUGCAGCCUUGACCCUCCGGGGUGCAGCCUCCCAAGUAGCUGCAACUACUGGCACACACCACUACACGGAACUAAUUUUCUAUAGUUAUUUUUUGUAGGGUCAGGGUCUGACAGUGUUGCCUAGGGUAGUCACAGAUUCCUGGGCUCAAGCAAGUCUCCUACCUUGGCUUCCCAAAGUGCUGGAUUACAGGUGUGAGCAACUGCGCCUGACAGAUUUCCGUGUCUUGAAAUAACAAAUCAGUGUCCAAUCUGUGAUGUGUUCUCUAUGACUCAUUUCCUUUUCUUCCUAGGCACUCAACUGUUGACUUUUUCCACCCUCCAUUGCUGUUCACUGUGGCCAUGUGACUGAGUUAGCUAAAGGAAUGUGGGAAGAAAUGUGUUCCUUUUCUAAGACUGUCUCAUAAAAACUUGCUCACAAGUCUACACGUGCCCUUUUCCCUCUUGUGAUUUACUGGCAAGGACAAGAAGAUCAGGAGAAGGGAGGAGCCACAAUGGGAGAAGGCUUGGUCCAUGAAGGAUGUGGCAGAAAGCCUCCGAAAGGGAACUCAACAUUGGACUGCAAUGUUAGAGAAAACUGAAUACACAUUUUGGAUUUGUUUGUAAUGCAGUAAGCCUACUCUAUGUAGCACAGGCGGAAAAUAGGAAGACAAUCUAGUUUUGAUGCCUACCCUUCACUGGGGAGCAGAACCAAGUUUUCAUAUUUGAAUACUGGAUGCCGUGCUUUUAUUAGGAGGUUUAUAAACCUUUGCUGAAGAUAAGUGAAUUUGGUGCUGCUAUCCAGAUCCUGCUCCUCAUCCUGAGCCAGCCCAAAGGAUGACAAGCUAAGAACCCAUGUCCUGCUCAGAACUUUAUCCCAAAAGAAAUAGAACUGUUUCAUAUUUAAAAGAAAAUUGUCAUGCAUUUGUCUACACCUAUAGUUAAAGAACAUUGUAGAUUAGGGGUUUGAAUGAAUUUGCUUGUUAAUAUUUUUCUUGAAUGACUUUUUCUGUUGCAAUCUAAAAGACAUUUUUAUUUAGCAGCAAGAAAAGGGCUGUCAUCACUGUCUCAGUCCAUUUUGUGUUACUCUAACAGAAUACCUGAGACUAGGUGAUUCACAAAGAACAGAGAUCUAUUUAUGUCAUUUCUGGAAGCUAGGAAGUCUAACAUGAAGGUGCCAGCAGGUUUGUUGUCUAGUAAGUGCCUAGUCUCUGCUUCCAAGAUGGAGCCUUAAAUGCUGCAUCCUCUCAAGGGAAGAAACAUUGUUCUCUGUGUGGCAGAAAAGCCAAAGAAGACCAAAAGUGGGUAAGGAUUCACCCUUUCC